AUACGGAGGGUGCAAGCGUUAUUCGGAAUCACUGGGCGUAAAGGACGCGUAGGCGGGUUGGCAAGUCAGAUGUGAAAUCCUACAGCUUAACUGUAGAACUGCAUUUGAAACUGCUAACCUAGAGUAUGGGAGGGGGAGAUGGAAUUAGUGGUGUAGGGGUAAAAUCCGUAGAUAUCACUAGGAAUACCGAAAGCGAAGGCGAUCUCCUGGAACAUAACUGACGCUAAGGCGUGAAAGCGUGGGGAGCAAACAGGAUUAGAAACCCUGGUAGUCC
rnacentral:rRNA from 1 species